rnacentral:rRNA from 1 species
AUUGAACGCUGGCGGCAUGCCUUACACAUGCAAGUCGAACGGCAGCAUGAUCUAGCUUGCUAGAUUGAUGGCGAGUGGCGAACGGGUGAGUAAUACAUCGGAACUUCCCCUGUAGUGGGGGAUAACUAGUCGAACGAUUAGCUAAUACCGCAUACGACCUGAGGGUGAAAGUGGGGGACCGCAAGGCCUCAUGCUAUAGGAGUGUCCGAUGUCUGAUUAGCUAGUUGGUGAGGUAAAGGCUCACCAAGGCGACGAUCAGUAGCUGGUCUGAGAGGACGAUCAGCCACACUGGAACUGAGACACGGCCCAGACUCCUACGGGAGGCAGCAGUGGGGAAUUUUGGACAAUGGGCGAAAGCCUGAUCCAGCAAUGCCGCGUGUGUGAAGAAGGCCUUCGGGUUGUAAAGCACUUUUGUCCGGAAAGAAAUGGCUCUGGUUAAUACAUGGGGUCGAUGACGGUACCGGAAGAAUAAGGAACGGCUAACUACGUG